rnacentral:rasiRNA from 1 species
CUUACCUGAAUUUUUUGCCGCGCGCUCC